ensembl:lncRNA
GAUUUACUGGGCACAUCCGUCUUCUGGAUAUUGAAUAGAGUUGAAUUUGGAGCAGCACUUUUCCAUGAGAAGAAGACACUGGAGGCCUCCCCUUCUUCCCCCCUCCCCAUUCCCAGCCCUCCCUCACUUCCCCAGGAGCCCAACCGGGGCUGGCCUGAGAGCUUAGGACCCUGAUAUAACAUCAUCGAUUCACGGAGAGCUAGAACCUUGUCAUUUCACAUUUCGAGGAGGGAAAGGAGAAAGCAAUUUGGGAAAAGCACCCUUUUCGGAGAUAAAGAGGCAAGCUUUUGUCUCCUCUCCCAUGGAUGCCCUGGAAACCGCUCCUGCUUCACUUCCUGACCAUGUGGAGCGGUCACAAUUAGGGGCUAUUGCCUUAAAAAAAAAUGUCUUUUGCCUUGUUUUAUUUAGUGUGCCCAGAAUUCACUGAUAUCUGGAAGUGAGCACUUCCGCUUAUGGGUGCUCUGGAAACAGGAAAAUAAAAGGAAAAAUCAGAACUACAAGCAGAGAGAUCCUUAUUUUUUUAACUUUUUAUUUUCUCUUGGGGUAUAGCUGAUUAACAAUGCUGUGAUGGUUUCAGGCGAACAGCAAAGGGACUCAGCCAUACAUAUAUGUGUAUCCAUUCUGCCCCAAACUCCCCUCCCAGCAAGAUCCUUCUUGGCCUGUUUUUUUCCCUUCUUCCCCAUUUUGAAAUAAUGCUUUAAAUGCUCUAGCAGGCUCUUUCAGUUACCUCUAACAGUUCUGUAGCAACCUGUAUCAUGUCAGCAUCAGAACUGAACUGAGAGAAAGCAAAAUGUCAGAGCAGCUGGUGACGGCUGAGGCCUCGUAUUGCCCCACUGCUGAGGGGGUCGGAGGCCUUCAUUCUGGUCUGGGAAUCCUGUGGGUUUCUUGUUGGGCCAACAUGAGGGCGAGUGUUGUGUCAGGCUGGGACAUUGUUAAGAAGGUGUCUUCCACAUAAGGCUCAAUAAAUACCACCUAAAUUGGAUGUCAUUAAAUUAGCAGCAGCUGCCC